rnacentral:rRNA from 1 species
UACGAAGGGGGCUAGCGUUGUUCGGAAUUACUGGGCGUAAAGGGCGCGUAGGCGGCCGAUUAAGUUAGAUGUGAAAGUCCUGGGCUCAACCUGGGGACUGCAUUUAAUACUGGUUGGCUUGAAUUCGGGAGAGGAUAGCGGAAUUCCCAGUGUAGAGGUGAAAUUCGUAGAUAUUAGGAAGAACACCGGUGGCGAAGGCGGCCCACUGGCUCGAUACUGACGCUGAGGUGCGAAAGCGUGGGGAGCAAACAGG